AUUGAACGCUGGCGGCAUGCUUUACACAUGCAAGUCGAACGGGCUUAGGUGCUUGCACCUAAGUUAGUGGCGAACGGGUGAGUAAUGCAUCGGAACGUACCGUGUAGUGGGGGAUAACCCGGCGAAAGUCGGAUUAAUACCGCAUACGAUCUAAGGAUGAAAGCAGGGGAUCGCAAGACCUUGCGCUAUACGAGCGGCCGAUGUCGGGUUAGCUAGUUGGUAGGGUAAAGGCCUACCAAGGCAACGAUCCGUAGCGGGUCUGAGAGGAGGAUCCGCCACACUGGGACUGAGACACGGCCCAGACUCCUACGGGAGGCAGCAGUGGGGAAUUUUGGACAAUGGACGAAAGUCUGAUCCAGCCAUGCCGCGUGAGUGAAGAAGGCCUUCGGGUUGUAAAGCUCUUUUGUCCGGGAGCAAUUCCUGUUCACUAAUACUGAGCGGGGCUGAGAGUACCGGAAGAAUAAGCACCGGCUAACUACGUGCCAGCCGCCGCCGUAAAAC
rnacentral:rRNA from 1 species